rnacentral:rRNA from 1 species
UGCUUGUCUCAAAGAUGCAUGUCAAGUAUAAAAACUGCGAAUGGCUCAUUAAAUCAGUUAUAGUUUAUUUGAUGGUUGGAUAUCCGUGGCAAUUUAGAGAUACAUGCACAAAGUCCCGACGGUGAUUCAUGAUAACUUCUCGAACCGUAUGGGUGCCGACGGUGCUUCAUUCAAAUUUCUGCCCUAUCAACUUUCGAUGGUACGGUAGUGGCCUACCAUGUUGCAACGGGGACGGAGAAUUAGGGUUCGAUUCCGGAGAGGCUGAGAACGGCUACCACUUCCGGCAGCAGGCGCGCAAUUACCAAUCCCGACUCGGGGAGGUAGUGACAAUAAAUAACAAUGCCGGUCUGGCAAUUGGAAUGAGUCAAUCUAAAUAACGAGAACAAGGGCAAGUCUGGUGCCUUCCAGCUCCAAUAGCGUAUAUUAAAGUUGUUGGAUUUCGGGGGCCUGGCGGUCUGCCCAAGGUGGUCCCUCUCGAAAGCCCCGACUGCUCUUYGUUGUCGGGGUUCGGGACGUUUACUUUGAAAAAAUUAGAGUGUUCAAGGCAGGCUGAAUACAUUAGCAUGGAAUAAUGGAAGAGGAUUUUGUUGGUUUCUAGGCCGAAGUAAUGAUUAAGAGGGACAGUUGGGGGCAUUCGUAUUAAUUGUCAGAGGUGAAUUCUCGGAUUUAUGAAAGACGAACAACUGCGAAAGCAUUUGCCAAGGAUGUUUCAUUAAUCAAGAACGAAAGUUUUCGAAGACGAUCAGAUACCGUCGUAGUCCUAACCAUAAACUAUGCCGACUAGGGAUCGGUGGAUGACUCCAUCGGCACCUUAUGAGAAAUCAAAGUCUUUGGGUUCCGGAGUAUGGUCGCAAGGCUGAAACUUAAAGAAUUGACGGAAGGGCCAGGAGUGGAGCUUAUUUGACUCAACACGGGGAAACUCAGUCCAGACAUAGUAAGGAUUGACAGAUUGAGAGCUCUUUCUUGAUUCUAUGGGUGGUGGUGGGCCGUUCUUAGUGGUGGAGUGAUUUUCUGGUUAAUUCCGUUAACGAACGAGACCUUAACCUGCUAACUAGUCACCCGAACGACUUCUUAGAGGGACAACUGGCCAGUGAGGCAAUAACAGGUCUGUGAUGCCCUUAGAUGUUCUGGGCCGCACGCGCGCUACACUGACGAAGUCAGCGAGCCUACGCCGAUAGGUGCGGGGAAUCUUGUAAACUUCGUCGUGCUGGGGAUUGAUUAUUGAAAUUCUUGAUCAUCAACGAGGAAUUCCUAGUAAGCGCAAGUCAGCAGCUUGCGUUGAUUACGUCCCUGCCCUUGUACACACCGCCCGUCGCUACUACCGAUUGAAUGGUUUAGUGAGAUCUUCGGAUUGAAAAGUUGAUCUGAUCAUUAGA